rnacentral:sRNA from 1 species
AUCACUGGAUAAUGAUAUUUAUAAGUCUAUAUGAAAACCAUAUAAUUUUGAUCAUUAAGAUUAUGGUUAUUAAUUCCAACGAGAUAUUGUAUUUGAUUGAAAAUCAUCUCCUGAAGAAGAUGUUUCCGAGGGGGAGAUUGAAUGAUAUGUGUGGAUGUACCCUUACUUUACGAGGCAGCAUUUUAAUGAGAACCCUUUAUGAGGCAGCAUUUCAAAUACUUUACGAGUUAUGAUACUAUAAUGGUCAUCAGGGGGAGUGUUAUGAAUAAAGAUGGAUGCCCAUUAUAAGGCCCAUCAUCUAAACCCAUCAUCUAGAUGUUUCUAGGGUUUUACCCUUUCCUUGUACACCUAUAUAAAGAACCCUUUAUCUCAAUGGAAUAACACACUCAUUUCUUCUAUCUCGUUCUCUGGUUAUAACAAAAAUAAAUGAUUUAAAACGAAAAAUCAGGAUGAUUAAUUCAUUUUAUUGAAAUCGAUUUUUUUUACAGGAUAUUAAAACCGAAAAUUAAUAAAUACUUAUGAGAGAUUUUAGGAAUGAUUUCGUUUGAAGUAAUGGUGGAGUUAAUAUAUGAGAGAUUUUAGGUAAUAUUUUUGUUAGGUAAAUAUUUGAUUUAACUGUUAGCAUAAAUUCAGUGGCAUUGAGUCGUAAAUAAGUUCAAAGUCCAGAAUUUAUUUGUUAAAAUGGCUGCAAAAAUGUAUAUGUAGAUGCAUUAUUUUGUACGUUGUGUAUCCCAAGGUCUAUUUAACAGUUAUUUGCUU